rnacentral:misc_RNA from 1 species
GGCUGCCAUAAUGCCAUAAUUCUUGAUGAAUUGGUGGUAAUAACUCGCCAAGCCGAGAAACUCAUGAAGAGCCUUAGUGGAUUGAGGUUCGAGCCAUUCGGUUAUUGCUCUAAUUUUAUUAUCAUCCAUAGAUACCCCUACAGCGGUAAUUAUAUGCCCCAAAUAUGCGACUUGGGUUUCCCCAAAUGAGCACUUGGAGAGCUUAGGAAAAAGAUAGUAA